rnacentral:lncRNA from 1 species
AAACAGCUAAUGCGCCAUGUGUGGAAGAAUCCAGAUGUUUGGAUUCUAUGCUCUUCCAAUCCAUUAUAUGAACAUCCAUUUAUUACAAUGUGUUGCAUUGUGUGGAAUGGAGAACUGCAUCACUAAUAAGGAAGUAAAGUUGAAGGCUAAUUAUACCGUUGCUAUUUUCAAAUGAGGAUUUUUCUGCUGAAAGUGUUAUUUUCAACAUGAAAU